AGAGUUUGAUCAUGGCUCAGAUUGAACGCUGGCGGAAUGCUUUACACAUGCAAGUCGAACGGCAGCACGGAGAGCUUGCUCUCUGGUGGCGAGUGGCGAACGGGUGAGUAAUAUAUCGGAACGUAUCCAAUAAUGGGGGAUAACUAGCCGAAAGGUUAGCUAAUACCGCAUACGCCCUGAGGGGGAAAGCUGGGGAUCUUCGGACCUGGCGUUAAUGGAGCGGCCGAUAUCUGAUUAGCUAGUUGGUGGGGUAAAAGCCUACCAAGGCGACGAUCAGUAGCUGGUCUGAGAGGACGACCAGCCACACUGGAACUGAGACACGGUCCAGACUCCUACGGGAGGCAGCAGUGGGGAAUUUUGGACAAUGGGCGCAAGCCUGAUCCAGCCAUUCCGCGUGAGUGAAGAAGGCCUUCGGGUUGUAAAGCUCUUUCGCAAGGGAAGAAAACUUACUCAAUAACACUGGGUGAGGCUGACGGUACCUUGAUAAGAAGCACCGGCUAACUACGUGCCAGCAGCCGCGGUAAUACGUAGGGUGCGAGCGUUAAUCGGAAUUACUGGGCGUAAAGCGUGCGCAGGCGGUUUUGUAAGUCAGAUGUGAAAUCCCCGGGCUCAACCUGGGAACUGCGUUUGAAACUACAAGGCUAGAGUAUGGGAGAGGGAGGUAGAAUUCCACGUGUAGCAGUGAAAUGCGUAGAGAUGUGG
rnacentral:rRNA from 1 species